GUGUCAGCAGCCGCGGUAAUACGUAGGGUGCAAGCGUUAAUCGGAAUUACUGGGCGUAAAGCGUGCGCAGGCGGUUUGCUAAGACCGAUGUGAAAUCCCCGGGCUCAACCUGGGAACUGCAUUGGUGGCUGGCAGGCUAGAGUAUGGCAGAGGGGGGUAGAAUUCCACGUGUAGCAGUGAAAUGCGUAGAGAUGUGGAGGAAUACCGAUGGCGAAGGCAGCCCCCUGGGCCAAUACUGACGCUCAUGCACGAAAGCGUGGGGAGCAAACAGG
rnacentral:rRNA from 1 species